rnacentral:rRNA from 1 species
AUUGAACGCUGGCGGCAGGCUUAACACAUGCAAGUCGAGCGGGGUGAUGGUGCUCGCACUAUCACUUAGCGGCGGACGGGUGAGUAAUGCUUAGGAAUCUGCCUAUUAGUGGGGGACAACAUCUCGAAAGGGAUGCUAAUACCGCAUACGUCCUACGGGAGAAAGCAGGGGAUCACUUGUGACCUUGCGCUAAUAGAUGAGCCUAAGUCGGAUUAGCUAGUUGGUGGGGUAAAGGCCUACCAAGGCGACGAUCUGUAGCGGGUCUGAGAGGAUGAUCCGCCACACGGGGACUGAGAAAAGGCCCAGACGCCUACGGGAGGCAGCAGUGGGGAAUAUUGGACAAUGGGGGGAACCCUGAUCCAGCCAUGCCGCGUGUGUGAAGAAGGCCUUAUGGUUGUAAAGCACUGUAAGCGAGGAGGAGGCUCUUUUGGUUAAUACCCAAGAUGAAUGGACGUUACUCGCAGAAUAAGCACCGGCUAACUCUGUGCCAGCCGCCGCAGUAA